CAGCCCCCUGGGUUAACACUGACGUUCAUGCAAGAAAGCGUGGGGAGCAAACAGGAUUAGAUACCUUGGUAGUCCACGCCCUAAACUAUGUCAACUGGUUGUCGGGGAAGCAAUUCUUUGGUAACGAAGCUAACGCGUGAAGUUGACCGCCUGGGGAGUACGGCCGCAAGGUUAAAACUCAAAGGAAUUGACGGGGACCCGCACAAGCGGUGGAUUAUGUGGAUUAAUUCGAUGCAACGCGAAAAACCUUACCUACCCUUGACAUGCCAGGAACCUCGCAGAGAUGUGAGGGUGCCCGAAAGGGAACCUGGACACAGGUGCUGCAUGGCUGUCGUCAGCUCGUGUCGUGAGAUGUUGGGUUAAGUCCCGCAACGAGCGCAACCCUUGCCAUUAGUUGCCACAUUCAGUUGGGCACUCUAAUGGGACUGCCGGUGACAAACCGGAGGAAGGUGGGGAUGACGUCAAGUCCUCAUGGCCCUUAUGGGUAGGGCUUCACACGUAAUACAAUGGCCGGUACAGAGGGCAGCCAACUCGCGAGAGGGAGCUAAUCCCAGAAAGCCGGUCGUAGUCCGGAUUGCAGUCUGCAACUCGACUGCAUGAAGCCGGAAUCGCUAGUAAUCGCGGAUCAGCAUGUCGCGGUGAAUACGUUCCCGGGUCUUGUACACACCGCCCGUCACACCAUGGGAGUGGGUUUCACCAGAAGUAGUUAGCCUAACCGCAAGGAGGGCGACUACCACGGUGAGAUUCAUGACUGGGGUGAAGUCGUGACAAGGUAACC
rnacentral:rRNA from 1 species